rnacentral:rRNA from 1 species
GAUGAACGCUGGCGGCGUGCCUAAUACAUGCAAGUCGAGCGAACGGACGAGAAGCUUGCUUCUCUGAUGUUAGCGGCGGACGGGUGAGUAACACGUGGAUAACCUACCUAUAAGACUGGGAUAACUUCGGGAAACCGGAGCUAAUACCGGAUAAUAUUUUGAACCGCAUGGUUCAAAAGUGAAAGACGGUCUUGCUGUCACUUAUAGAUGGAUCCGCGCUGCAUUAGCUAGUUGGUAAGGUAACGGCUUACCAAGGCAACGAUGCAUAGCCGACCUGAGAGGGUGAUCGGCCACACUGGAACUGAGACACGGUCCAGACUCCUACGGGAGGCAGCAGUAGGGAAUCUUCCGCAAUGGGCGAAAGCCUGACGGAGCAACGCCGCGUGAGUGAUGAAGGUCUUCGGAUCGUAAAACUCUGUUAUUAGGGAAGAACAUAUGUGUAAGUAACUGUGCACAUCUUGACGGUACCUAAUCAGAAAGCCACGGCUAACUACGUGCCAGCAGCCGCGGUAAUACGUAGGUGGCAAGCGUUAUCCGGAAUUAUUGGGCGUAAAGCGCGCGUAGGCGGUUUUUUAAGUCUGAUGUGAAAGCCCACGGCUCAACCGUGGAGGGUCAUUGGAAACUGGAAAACUUGAGUGCAGAAGAGGAAAGUGGAAUUCCAUGUGUAGCGGUGAAAUGCGUAGAGAUAUGGAGGAACACCAGUGGCGAAGGCGACUUUCUGGUCUGUAACUGACGCUGAUGUGCGAAAGCGUGGGGAUCAAACAGGAUUAGAUACCCUGGUAGUCCACGCCGUAAACGAUGAGUGCUAAGUGUUAGGGGGUUUCCGCCCCUUAGUGCUGCAGCUAACGCAUUAAGCACUCCGCCUGGGGAGUACGACCGCAAGGUUGAAACUCAAAGGAAUUGACGGGGACCCGCACAAGCGGUGGAGCAUGUGGUUUAAUUCGAAGCAACGCGAAGAACCUUACCAAAUCUUGACAUCCUUUGACAACUCUAGAGAUAGAGCCUUCCCCUUCGGGGGGCAAAGUGACAGGUGGUGCAUGGUUGUCGUCAGCUCGUGUCGUGAGAUGUUGGGUUAAGUCCCGCAACGAGCGCAACCCUUAAGCUUAGUUGCCAUCAUUAAGUUGGGCACUCUAAGUUGACUGCCGGUGACAAACCGGAGGAAGGUGGGGAUGACGUCAAAUCAUCAUGCCCCUUAUGAUUUGGGCUACACACGUGCUACAAUGGACAAUACAAAGGGCAGCGAAACCGCGAGGUCAAGCAAAUCCCAUAAAGUUGUUCUCAGUUCGGAUUGUAGUCUGCAACUCGACUACAUGAAGCUGGAAUCGCUAGUAAUCGUAGAUCAGCAUGCUACGGUGAAUACGUUCCCGGGUCU